GGGAGCUUAGAUGUGGAAGCUCUUUGGAAACCAAGAAACACUCUGCAAAUGAAAAGGAUACCAACUUCAUCUCUCUUUAAGAAUACAAUAUUAGUUUAAAAGAUUGUUCAACUUAAAGCAAUCUUGUAGAGAUUGUCACCCAUGAUUGAUGCUGGCAUAAGAAUGUUUAUCACAGCAUGGCAUAUAUUGGAAGUUUAGUAAAUGAAGAUACAUCCAAUCUGACAUUCCAUUCACAACCACAAAGAGAUAACGUAGAAACAUAUUUAGUAAUGUGAGAAAAUACUAAAUAUUAAGUGAAAAAGGUGGAAGAGUAAACUGUUCCUGUUUCUCCAUCUUGACAGGAAGCAGAAGUUCUCCUUAGCUGAUUUUUCUUCUUGCCUUAUACUGGGUUCUUUAACACCAGAACAAAAAUAAAUAAAUAAAAGAAUCUUCCAGAAAUUCAUGAAGAGACUUCAGGUCAGGAAAGCCUGAACUUUCUCAUCCAACACCUGUUCAAGUCGGAGGAUGCUGAUUAAUUCAUGAUGGAAAGGUAUCAAUUUCACAGCCCAGACCUCUACAUUCUUGAAAUGCUCUUCUCAUGGGAGACAUUAAAUAAGCUUUGAAUUAACUGAGACCUCUGUGGAUUCUAUAACUCAAAGACCCAGGCUGACGGCUGGUGGAAUAGCUACCAUCUCAAACAUGGCGUGAUGCUGCAUCAGAGAGAAAAAUAAGCUCUUGCAUUGACAAUGAAAUGUCUACCCUGUAGUGACUUGUGCUUACUUCCACUCACAAGUGAUUGCCCAGAGCUACUUACCUGGCUCCAAUCUACCACUGGUGCCAUGACACCCAGGAUGCAGCUGUAGGAACACCACUGGGUCCCUGGAUGUCAUGUAAGCCCUUAAG
rnacentral:antisense_RNA from 1 species